rnacentral:rRNA from 1 species
AACGAACGCUGGCGGCAGGCUUAACACAUGCAAGUCGAACGCAUCCUUCGGGGUGAGUGGCAGACGGGUGAGUAACGCGUGGGAACGUGCCCUUCAGUUCGGGAUAACCCAGGGAAACUUGGGCUAAUACCGGAUACGUGAGAGCAGAAAGAUUUAUCGCUGAAGGAUCGGCCCGCGUCUGAUUAGCUAGUUGGUGGGGUAAUGGCCCACCAAGGCGACGAUCAGUAGCUGGUCUGAGAGGAUGAUCAGCCACAUUGGGACUGAGACACGGCCCAAACUCCUACGGGAGGCAGCAGUGGGGAAUAUUGGACAAUGGGCGCAAGCCUGAUCCAGCCAUGCCGCGUGAGUGAUGAAGGCCUUAGGGUUGUAAAGCUCUUUCGUCCGGGACGGUAAUGACGGUACCGGAAGAAGAAGCCCCGGCUAACUUCGUGCCAGCCGCCGCUGUAA